GACGAACGCUGGCGGCGUGCUUAACACAUGCAAGUCGAACGGAAAGGCCCUGCUUUUGUGUGGUGCUCGAGUGGCGAACGGGUGAGUAACACGUGAGUAACCUGCCCUUGACUUUGGGUUAACUUCAGGAAACUGGGGCUAAUACCGGAUAGGAGCUCCUGCUGCAUGGUGGGGGUUGGAAAGUUUCGGCGGCUUGGGAUGGACUCGCGGCUUAUCAGCUUGUUGGUGGGGUAGUGGCUUACCAAGGCUUUGACGGGUAGCCGGCCUGCGAGGGUGACCGGCCACAUUGGGACUGAGAGACGGCCCAGACUCCUACGGGAGGCAGCAGUGGGGAAUAUUGCACAAUGGGCGGAAGCCUGAUGCAGCAGCGCCGCGUGCGGGAUGACGGCCUUCGGGUUGUAAACCGCUUUCGCCUGUGACGAAGCGUGAGUGACGGUAAUGGGUAAAGAAGCACCGGCUAACUACGUG
rnacentral:rRNA from 1 species